GUUGUAUGGUUAAGUGACUAAGCGUACACGGUGGAUGCCUUGGCAGUCAGAGGCGAUGAAAGACGUAGUAACUUGCGAUAAGCCCAGAUUAGGUAGUAACAACCAUUUGAG
rnacentral:rRNA from 1 species